UUUCUUCUUCCUUUUUUGGGAGGGGGUCUCACUAUGUUGUCCAGGCUGGACUCGAAUUCCUGGGCUCAAGCAAUCCUCCUGCUUCAGCCUCCUGAGUAGCUGUGACUAUAGGUGUGUGCCACUGCACCCAGCUUCAGUAUAUGUAAUUUUUUGAUACAAAUAAAAAAAAAUUAAAACAAAAUCCUACUCAUCCUGCAGUUUAACAUCUGUAAUGAAUUUGCUUCAAUUUACCUAUAAUUCUAUUAAUUUUAAUCAUUAUGGUCAGAUAUAUAUAUUUCAUAAUUUUAACAAACUGCAGCACUGAUUUUCAUGUUUUUGUUGUUGUUGUUUUUGAGACGGAGUCUCACUCUGUUGCCCAGGGGUGGUGAUGGACGUCUGUAAUCCCAGCUACUGGGGAGGCUGAGGCAGGAGAAUCACUUGAGCCCGGGAGGUGGAGGUUGCAGUGAGCCAAGAUUGUGCCAUUGCACUCCAGCCAGGGCGACAGAGCAAGACUCUAUCUCAAAAAAAAAAAAACAACAACAACAACAACAACAAAAAACUAGAAUCAUUUUAUUGUUUAGCUAAAACCCCAAAGCAAACGAAACAAAAGAUUAGAACAUCACCCA
rnacentral:antisense_RNA from 1 species